rnacentral:rRNA from 1 species
UGGGGAAUAUUGCACAAUGGGCGCAAGCCUGAUGCAGCCAUGCCGCGUGUAUGAAGAAGGCCUUCGGGUUGUAAAGUACUUUCAGUCGGGAGGAAGGUGUCAAGGUUAAUAACCUUGGCAAUUGACGUUACCGACAGAAGAAGCACCGGCUAACUCCGUGCCAGCAGCCGCGGUAAUACGGAGGGUGCAAGCGUUAAUCGGAAUUACUGGGCGUAAAGCGCACGCAGGCGGUCUGUCAAGUCGGAUGUGAAAUCCCCGGGCUCAACCUGGGAACUGCAUUCGAAACUGGCAGGCUAGAGUCUUGUAGAGGGGGGUAGAAUUCCAGGUGUAGCGGUGAAAUGCGUAGAGAUCUGGAGGAAUACCGGUGGCGAAGGCGGCCCCCUGGACAAAGACUGACGCUCAGGUGCGAAAGCGUGGGGAGCAAACAGG